UGCCUACGGGGGGCAGCAGUGAGGAAUAUUGGUCAAUGGGCGGAAGCCUGAACCAGCCAAGUCGCGUGAGGGAAUAAGGCCCUACGGGUCGUAAACCUCUUUUGCCGGGGAGCAAGGGCGGGGACGUGUCCCGGCCCGGAGAGUACCCGGAGAAAAAGCAUCGGCUAACUCCGUGCCAGCAGCCGCGGUAAUACGUAGGUGGCAAGCGUUAUCCGGAAUUAUUGGGCGUAAAGAGGGAGCAGGCGGC
rnacentral:rRNA from 1 species